rnacentral:rRNA from 1 species
GCGGAGGGAUCAUUACCGAGUUUUCAACUCCCUAACCCUUCUGUGAACCUACCUAUCGUUGCUUCGGCGGACUCGCCCCAGCCCGGACGCGGACUGGACCAGCGGCCCGCCGGGGACCUCAAACUCUUGUAUUCCAGCAUCUUCUGAAUACGCCGCAAGGCAAAACAAAUGAAUCAAAACUUUCAACAACGGAUCUCUUGGCUCUGGCAUCGAUGAAGAACGCAGCGAAACGCGAUAAGUAAUGUGAAUUGCAGAAUCCAGUGAAUCAUCGAAUCUUUGAACGCACAUUGCGCCCGCCAGCAUUCUGGCGGGCAUGCCUGUUCGAGCGUCAUUUCAACCCUCGACCUCCCCUUGGGGGGGUCGGCGUUGGGGACCGGCAGCACACCGCCGGCCCUGAAAUGGAGUGGCGGCCCGUCCGCGGCGACCUCUGCGCAGUAAUACAGCUCGCACCGGAACCCCGACGCGGCCACGCCGUAAAACACCCAACUUCUGAACGUUGACCUCGAAUCAGGUAGGACUACCCGCUGAACUUAAGCAUAUCAAUAAGCGGAGGA